rfam:Methylobacterium tarhaniae strain DSM 25844 contig_2, whole genome shotgun sequence.
CGCAUAUUUUGCCAUGGCGGAGCUCGACCGCCGGUCGCGGCCAUGAUCAGCUUCAUCGACGAUCAUCGAAAGGCUUACGGGGUCGAGCCGAUCUGCAGGGUGCUGCCGAUUGCCCCG